UCCUGUGGCCGACGUCAUCUGGAGGAGAUUUGCUUUCCUUUUCUCCAAAAGGGGAGAAAGUUGAAACUGAGUGGCCCACGAUGGGAAGAGGGGAAGCCCAGGGGUACAGGAGGCCUCUGGGUGAAGGCAGAGCCUAACAUGGGGUUCAAAGCAACCUUGGCCGUUGGCCUGACCAUCUUUGUGCUGUCUGUCGUCACUAUCAUCAUCUGCUUCACCUGCUCCUGCUGCUUUCUGUACAAGACGUGCCACCGACCACGUCCCUCCAAGUGUGCCGCCCAGCUACCCUGGACCAAGCUACCAGGGCUACCACACCAUGCCGCCUCAGCCAGGGAUGCCAGCAGCACCCUACCCAAUGCAGUACCCACCACCUUACCCAGCCCAGCUCAUGGGCCCACCGGCCUACCACAAGACCCUGGCUGGAGGAGCAGCCGCGCCCUACCCUGCCAGCCAGCCUCCUUACAACCCAGCCUACAUGGAUGCCCCCAAGGCGCCCCUCUGAGCAUCCCCCAGCCUCUCUGGCUGCCACUUGGUUAUGUUGUGUGUGUGUGAGUGGUGUGCAGGCACGGUUCCUUACGGCCCAUGCGUGCUGUGUGUGUCCUGCCUGUAUAUGUGGCUUCCUCUGAUGCUGACGAGGUGGGGAACGAUCCUUGCCAGAGUGGGCUGGGACCAGACUUUGUUUUCUUCCUCACCUGAAAUUAUGCUUCCUAAAAUCUCAAGCCAAACUCAAAGAAUGGGGUGGUGGGGGCACCCUGUGAGGUGGCCCCUGAGAGGUGGGGGGUUCUCCAGAGCACAUCUGGAGUUCUUCUCCAGCUUACCCUAGGGUGACCAAGUAUGGCCUGUCACACCAGAAUGACGCAGCUUUCUGUAUGAUGCAGAUGUGUCCUGGUUUCGGCAGCGUAGCCAGCUGCUGCUCGAGGUCAUGCAGGCGAAACUUGGGAUCUAACCAAGUUGGGCUUUGAUCCUUUAGGCAGAUGUCCCAUUGCUCCCUGGAGCCUGUGUCGUGCCUGUUGGCGGUCAGGUGGCCCCCUGAUGCCAGAACACCUCAGGCAGAGCCCUCCUCACCUGAUAGCUGUCUGCCUGGACUGUCCCCUGUCCCUGCAUCUUCCCUGGGACCACCCAGAGGGCCACAUCCACACACAGCCUAGCUGUCCACAGGGAGCUCUGCUGCCCUUGCUGCCCCUCCCUUCCCACAGGUGAGCAGGGCUCCUGUCCACCAGCACACUCAGGUCUCUUCCCGGCAGUGUUUUCAUUUUAUUUUAGCCAAACAUGUUGCCUGUUUUCUGU